rnacentral:tRNA from 1 species
CCCCUGCUGGCUCAGAGGGUAAAGCAUCUGCCUGCAAUGCAGGAAACCCGGGUUUGAUUCCUGGGUCGGGAA